CACAUUUUCCUUCAUGCUUCUUUCUCUUACUGUUCUUCUUCAUCCAGAGGUGAAGAACACCCUUUUUCACCUCAGCAGAAAAAGCCUCAUUUGAAGAAGCUACCCUAGGGGUGGAAGAAGAGGAUUUGAGCUCUGCUAGGCUAUUACAGGCAACAUAUGAUGAAGAAAAGGUUUCAGGUGAAGAACCCCAGCUGGACAGCAUGCCAUCCUGCAGAGCAAGGCUCACUGAGUAUUCAUCCUUAGGAUCUCACAGGGAGGGUUCUAAUGUUCCUCAGCACUGUGAAGGGAACCUUUCACAGAUCCAAAGGCCUAGCAUCUUGAAGGAUCUCACUCAAAGACUACAGGGUUCUCUUCAUGUGUGGGAGGUCCAGAACUGAGAAAGAAGAGGAUGCCUAGUCACAUUAGGAUGCUAACAAUGGGAAGAGAAAAGUGGAGCCAAUUUCUUUAUGGUGGAGCAUGGACAAGGUACGCUGUGUUUUUUCUCAGCUAAAAUUAGACAUUACCUUAACUACUCUUUACUUUUACGGUCUGUGUUAAUUAUUUAGCAUACAGGACAAACUUCAUUUUUGCAUCCGAGUUCAAACACACAACAAGAGGGGAAGUUCCCCAUUGUUCAGCAAAUUCUCUGCUUCCUAUUGUUGUGCAGUGCUGGAUUUUAAUUUUGCAAGUUACAGUAUCUUAACCAUUUUUCACUUCACCUUUCAUUUUAUAGCUUCUGUUAUGUGUUAAGGAAAAUGUUUCUUUCACUGAAGUAGCAGCAAACCAGCAGCUCCUGAAACUGCAAGAUAAGAAUUCUCACCUGACUACUCAUAACGAAUGAGACAUGCGUUGCAGAAUUCACCCAUUUUACUCCAGGAAGAGAAAAUGUGUGCACUGGGAGAGAGAAACAGAAAUGAGACAUGCUGGCUGACCUUGGGCAAGUCACUUCACUUCUUUGUUUCUCUUUGCUGCUGUUUUCCUUGCUACCUUUAGUUUGUCUCAUCCAAUUAAAGAAACCUGAAGCAGGAGUGCUCUUUGCAUUGUCAGCAUAUCUAGCCAAUAAGGUGGUGACCUCACUUGGAUACAAAAGUAGUAAGUAAUAACCGUGACGACAGUUUACAAGUGAUGCUCUGCAUUUCUAAUACUCUGGCUAAGAAAUGUUUCAAUAACUUAUUAAAGUAUACGUGUAAAUUCUUCUUUACAAUGGAAAGCUGCUCUUAACUCUUGUCAGCUUUAAUAGAACUUAAGAGCUUAGAUUUUCACCCUGACGACUUCUCCUGUAAGGCUGUUGCAGAAGUCUACUGCUCCACUGAUCUGAGAAAAACUCUUCUAAUUACAAACCCAAAUGCACUCUUGGACAACUCUCACCCUUCACUCUUACACCAGCAAGGUCUGCUCCUCUAGUGUUCAUGCCUGUGCUGUAUUUAGAAACAAAUCACAACUCUCCUAGGCCUAUGUUUUACUAGGUGAAAGAGGUCAAACUCUCCUCUGAGUUACAUGUUAAGCCUCCAUUAGAACCUCUGCUUUGAGCUCUAAUCCAUCACCCAUGCAAUCAUUAUAACCUAAUCCUGGACUUCAGCUCCUAUUAAACUAGGUCAAAAAUCUUUCAGUUCUCUAUGGCCAGACUGGCAGGGUGACCAACUUUGCAUCUCCAUACACUUCUCCUCAAAACAGAAGAAAGGGGACUGUGUCCUUGCUCCUGAAAUCCACUGCUCAGUGCUGUCCUUACCUGCCAGCACUCAGCACCCACCCCAGGAAGGGAGUAGAGAGAAAGCUCCCCUUUCAGGAUAUGCUCUCUUCCUUCCAGCUUGUGAUUGUCUGCGUAACUGGGUCUAGGGUACAGAAGUUGUUGGGACUGAUGGCACAAAAAAAAGCACAAAGAGCCAAGAAAGAAACUUCAGCUCAGAGGAAAAUACUGUCCCAUGUUAUAUAUUUGUAGUAGGAAGGAUGACUUUCAAAUGCCCAUCAGAAGAAAAUUUAUAUUAUGAUCUUUUCUUUCUCUGUCCUUUCUAUUGACAGCAUAUCACUUUCAAACAUCCUAAUUUUGCUGGGUGAAAACAUAUGCCCUUUUUAAUACAUUUGCCACACAUAAGCCUUGUUAAUUUAGGAUUAAUGUUGCUGAAGUAAUUAAAGUGACCUUAUGCAAAACACAUGACUAUAGUUUCAUAAUGAAGUCCUACUGGUUAUCUGUGGGGCUAAGUUCAGCCUAGUGGUAUUAACAGUUGGGCUGGCUUUAGCUUUACAGCUUCAGAGGUCUCCAAAACUCACUUUAAAAUAAAGGUCUUCCAUUAAAUCUUCCAAAGACAAAUAAAUGUCAGUUGGUUGUUCCCAGCAGCUAACUGUGAGAAGCACAAACUCUUCAGUAAGGCUUAGAGAGUCAAAGAUCAGACAGAAACCAAGGAUGCAGAAAUCAUGGUAUGUUCCCUCUUAAUUUCAACAGCCACCAAAAAAAGGUAAACAGAAAUGAUUCACUGGGUAGAGGUGCACUAAAAUUGCUAUCAGAUACAUAUUGUCACAUAUAUUAACUUUGAAUUUGGUAUGAAUAUCUUUGCAUCUAAAAAAAAAGAUCAAAAUAACUCUCCACUAUACUGCAGAACAGCACUUUUAGCAUGAGAGAGAAUUGUUUAGCAAGCAACUGCUGCCAGAUCAAUAAUUUAUCAAGUACAAACUAUGGUUAUUUUCAUGUGGCUUCUCUAGUAAAAAAGAAUCUGCUGGGAAAUUUACAUUAAAAGAAACUUCACAGAAAACCAAAUGCUACUGCAUGGGCAAGGACAUAAAAUACAACAAGUUGUUUUGUUCAAUAACACUUUGGGUUGGUGGUCAUUUAAAAUGCUUUUCAUACACAAAGCCAAAGAUCAAAGUAUUAAUGGAAACAAUUGCACAGCACAACUUGAGAGCACCACAGCAAUCAUUUGCUAAGGCUAGAAAGUUUACUUUAAAAUCGUGAUUACACCAAUAAAGCCCUACCAAUUUUCAUACUGCAAAAUAUUUUGACCUCCCAGGCUACUACCUAGGAUUACUGUACCUUCUCCUAGGAACAGGAUCACUGUUUCAAAGAAUUCCCUCUUGAAGAUACAAACAUCAGCUUUGUCCACUUUUGCAGCUGACACAAAGAAGCCCAUUCAAUAAAAUAGUGCCUUUAUUUGCAUAUGGUUUCCAAGGACUUUGUUCAAAACCAGCUCACAGCAUAAUAAGUGUCAUCUGCUUUUCUCCUGGUCAUUAAACCUGUACUCAUUCACUGCAUACAGCACCACCUUUGUUCACCUUCUUGGUAUCAACAAAGCCAAAGAGGGAUGGACUGACCUCAAAAGGAGGCUACAUUAUUAUAAAUUUCAAAGCAGGGGUAUUUCAAAGACUGUUGCCUAGGGUCACUUCUGAUACAAAUUCCAGACAUUCAUGUUGAAUUUUGUAAGACGCUGCUAUUCAGUCAAAGCCAAGUUCAAAAGAAGCAUCCCGUUAUGUGAUAUGUAUGCUAUUUCCUGAUACAGAAGUCAUUAUGAAAAGAAGUGUACCCAGCAAUGCACUACAGAACAAGAACCAGCAUUGUACAGUUUUGCAAUUAAAAGGAAAAGGGGUUUCAUCUUUUCCAGCAGUUGCCUGCAUAGAUCGAGGGGAACAGGUAUCUGAGUUAUGGGAUACUGAGUACCUUGCACCUGACUGGGUGACUGGCUGCAGAAAUGGAGAUGAAACCAGAACAAAUCCUAGCUGCACAGACUUCACUCCUAGAAGAAUGGUAUUUGUGAAAAGCACAUUUCUGCAUAUACACAUUACAGCAUCUAUCAAAAUAAUGCUGUUGAAGUAGAGAUGUCCUCUCCAUACCUGUACACAGACAACCUCCGCACAGUCCAGAGCCCCUCUUUCCAUCCCAGGUCCAGAGCAAGAUAAAAAAACCUUGCUCCAGUGAGCUGUUUCUGAUUUCUACUUGGAAUUAUCUGGUCAGGUUUUACAGCCAUCCAUUGCACUGCACUACAAUCAAUGAGUAGAUCCUUGAACUGUAACAAUCAUUCCUAGUCUCCUUCAAAUUCUUUAUUAAUAUAGACAUAAUUAAACUGCUAAAACAUAAAGACACAGCUUCUUUCUCACUUACAAAUUCCCCUGAAGUAUCUUGCAAAAAUUGAUGCCCUGAGAGAACACUACACUUGCUUUUCUUUUUUGUUUUUCCCCUCUACCAUCUAACUUUAACACACAAGACAUGUAACAAUGCCUGGGGCAUCAUCCCUGACUCUGGGAGUCUCCAGGCAAUCUGCAGCCUCUGUGGUUCUGUUACAGGUGAGAGAUGAGCAAUAAUAAAGGAACAUUACAGUGUAGAACCUUUGGGGAUUUUGCAAAGAGAUCAAGUAAAUAACUUUCAUAAGCUUUAGAAGGAAAAAAAAUCCCUCCCUACUACGCUUCAUCUCAUCAGGUUUCAGGCUUGAAUAAAACGUUCACAGUGAAACCAAAGUCUCCCCAAAGCUCAUCUGGGUUUGCAGUUUUGCUACUAAGUCAUAACUCAGCUAAGACUGAUUGAAAGCCCAAAUGUAUUUGAAAACACUUGGACCCACUUUCAAAGGACCCUGAGCUGAUGGAGGAGUUUGUGCCUAAAUUUUGGUGAAAUUUAGUUAUGUAUGGUUUGGUACUGUUCAAAGAUGAUAGUGAAAUUACUUCAUAUACAAUUUCACAUCAUUGUAGUGAAUAUAUUUAUACAGCUGUAAGGCCUUAAAGGUGGAUAUUGGUGGUAACUUGAGGGUGAAUUGCUUGCAAUGAGUAUAUCUUCAUAUUUUUCCUGUUAAGUGCAUUACUUUUUUUGUCUUUAUUGCAGUGUCACAUAAGAUCCUAUUAUUUUAGGUAUUGCAAAAGCACCAGUGUGAGUCCUUGACUCAUAAUUUUUAUUUUAAGUUGUGGAAGAACAGAAUGUCUUUUAAAAUAAGUGAUGCUGAAUAAGUGGCCAUUUCAACAAUUCUCCAUUAGGUCAGAAACUGCUAUUGCUAUUGUAAACCUGCUCAACAUGGAUCAGUGUCUAAUAAAUGAGAGUGUUCAGGGGUUUUUAACUUGCAUUGGAAAGCUUACAGCAUAAGCAGAUAUCUUAGUAUGUUUUGCUUUGUUAAACAUUGUUCUGAUUGCCUAAUGCAAAAAGCAUUUUUUAAAAGGUACGUAAAUAGAACCCCAUUUGCAAAAGAAAUUAUGAAGGUUUGGGGUUUUUUUCCUCUUUUGCUUAUCUGCCUUAUGAUUUCUAAGAGGUUUGACACCAAACUUCAACAUACAACACUGCCUAGAGAAUACUGGCUCAUCUUUCGUGAGAUGAACGUGCUGACAACAUUAACUUCCCUUGACAGAAAUAGGUGUGCAACAAACCCCUAGAAAUUAUACUGCAAAUAUAUCCCUAAGAAUCCUUCAGAUUUCCUAAAGUAGAGUGGAAACUAGAGAUAUGCUUAAAAUCCCAAAAGUAAUGUGUAUUGUCAGCAAACAGGCUAAACUGCUGCUUCACGGGCAAUGCAGGUAAAGCGCCCCUAAAAUGACUGUACCAGCAGCAAAAAAGUAACAGUUACAAAUUAUGUCACAUCACAUCAAAACAGGUCAGAUGAUGCAUUUUGUGGGGUUGUUUCACAUAUGACCCUACAAAAUCACAUGUCAAAUGAUGGAUAAGAUGAUUUCUCAGGAAGCAGUAUGCUCCAGGUAAAGCCAGGAUUAAAGUGAAGGGUCAUCUUCAACAAAGAAAUAUGUGACAGGAUGAGAUACCUUUUUCAUUCCUCAGUCAAGCAUGCCACUACGUAGAUAAAUGGUAAAAAGAUACAAAAUAACAGGAGUAAUCAGAAAAGUCGUCAAAACAGAAAAUACCUGUCCUUUUUCCUCAGUUUGGCUUGGAGUGAAAACAAGCUCAAACCAAAGAAAAUUUUGCCUAAAUAUUACUAAAGCAUUGUAGACGGCAGUUGUAGAUCUAGAACAGCCUAUGGUUAUAUCCUUUACACCAAAGACAAACUGCAAUAGGGGUAGGGCAACGUUUGUAGGAAGUUGGUCCAUUUUCAUUAGUCAAAUACAGUUUGCAAAGAGCAUCCAAGUUUCAGGAUACAAGCCUUCUUCAGUCAUUCAGACCUUCAUCCAACUUUCACUCCCUUUUAGACCCUAGAGCAUCAUGCACUCUAAAAGUGUACUUCAGACUGGGUCAGUAAAGUUUAGAGGCAUAAAAAAACCCUUAAAUUCAAAACACUGAACAAGAAAUGGUGGCCUUUUCUUCAGGCUAUGACCUAACAACAAACACCUGGGCUGUUUUAACUACUGAAGACAUGCAAAUUAAAUUCAUCGUUGUUCUAAAAACUAACAUCUCUCCAUUUUAGUAUACAAGAAUAAUACCCUCUUCUAGUUCUGUGAACCAACAGCUAACCAUCUCCCUGCAACUGGAAACAACAAACUCUUAGUUGGAUAAAACCGUGUUUUCAUACAAGGGAAUGCAAGCAUAAAUCUAACAUCUGAGAAAAACUAAUUCAACCAAUUCAAAUAAAACACUGUAGGAACAAGAGAUGAAGUUUAAAUAAGUGCUCCUCACUCAGUCAUCACAACAUACUCUGUCAUCAUUAAUUCUAACAUGAUGAUGUUGCCAAGGUGAAGCAUCAUCUUACCAACAAUUACCUCUGCUAUAGGGUCAAAUUUCUUAGUUUCUCAUCUCUUAGGUACUACAUUUUAAGACUAGAUUUUUAACAUGGAUAAUAGACCUGCACAGGAGCAGACAGCCUGAAAUUCCUGCUUCACAUCCUUUCCACAGGUCAUCAGCCAAGGAGAGGCUGACAGAGGCAGGGGAAAGGCAGACCCUGGAUUAUAUAUACCCUUUCACUAGACAUGAAGGGGCACAGACACAUUUGGGGCUGUGACAGGACAUUCAUCAUCCUGCUCCUGGAGAGAAAGAAGAGCCAAUAAUUGCUAUUAAAAGAGGUACCUUGGAACACAAGCGGCUACCACUCAGGCUGCAGGUGACAUUUGUCUGCUUAUUCAAGGUAUGAUCUAACCCACAGUAUUCACUCCAGUCCUAUUUACCUUCCAUAAUGACAUCAGGGAAUCUUGCUCAUGUCUGCAGAAAACUCUAUGCCAUACCACCAACACCUUACAACACUAAUGUUGGCAACAGUAUCAGCUGCAGGAUGCUUGUAAAUGCAAAGCUGGUUAUCAGCUCAAGAGUAAGCGAAACCAAAUUAAUCAUAUAUAAUACACACACACACAGAGUGAUUAAAAUGAUAUGUGUAUUGGACAGAUGUGUUUGUUUCUCCAAAGAAAACAGUAUCCCAGGACAGUUAUUAAAAACACAGAAAAGCCAAUUGUCUUUUUAUUACUUUCUAUACUAAGGCCUUCUCCAUUGUUCUACUAGGUCCAGGACCGUUUCAUCUGAAUGAACAUGGAAACUAAAAAUAUUUACCUGCUCCUCAAUGCCAAUGUGAAUUUAAUCAUAAAACUAAUUGCUUUCAUUUUUCUGUUAUAAACUCUUGAAUUUGCUAUAGAGGUUACCACAGUGAAAAUUUUCUGCCAGCAAUGAAGUCCAAAAGGAAAUGGUCUGUGUUGUUUCUUGGAAGAAAAUUGCCUUUAGAAAAAUCCUAUUUCUUUGCUAAAGUAUCAAGGAGAUAUGUGGUUGAAGAAAGAGAUGUAUAGCUUUUGAGAUUAAUCAUUAUGAUGAAUGAGAGAAAAGCUGAAGGCUGCAAAAAAUCUCCAUAAGUAUAUCUCCACUUACUCUCCAAUAAUUACACCAGUAGCUGCCAUCUUCACUGUUUCUAUGUAGAUUCUCUCCCUGCCAACCUUGGCCCCUAAAGAAGUGAUGUAUAACAUCCAGCUCUACUCAAAAGUCUUAAAUUGCUGGCAGCUGCAAGAAACACAAAUUACAAUCAAAAUACCAUAUUAAACUAUUUCCAAACACCUUAGCCACCCAUAGAAUGUUCACUGUUUACCAAAUAAGCAAGAACUGAUAAAAACAAAUCUUUGAAGUGAAAUACUGAUCUUUUUUAACCUUAGAGUCAGCAAUUGAUACAGCCUGUGCUAGUUUUGGCUGGGUUUUCUUCAUAGUAGCUAGUAUGGGGCUGUGUUUUGGAUUUGUGCUGAAAACAGUGCUGAUCAUACAGGGACAUUUUCAUUAUUACUGAGCAGUCCUUAGAGUCAAGGCCUUUUCUGCUACUCAUAUCACCCCACCAGUGAGUAGGUUGGGGGUGCACAUGAAGCUGGGAGGGGACACAGCCAGGACAGCUGACCCCAACUGACCAAAGAGAUAUUCCAUACCAUCCAACAUUGAUGGUAUGUUGAUGGGAAAUAGUGAAUUAAUUUCUUGUGUUACUUUGCUUGUGUGGGUGGCUUUUGCUUUACCUAUUAAACUGUCCUUAUCUCAACCCAAAAGUUUUCUCUUUUUUCUAAUUCUCUCUCCCAUCCCACCAGGGGUGAGUGAGCAAGCAGCUGUGUGGCACUUAGUUGCCACCUGGGGUUAAACCACGACACAGCCUUAGAAAGAUACACUCCUGCCACGGUAUCUCAUUAUUUCUUUUGAUGUGUUAUCAUAUCUUUAUGGAGUGGUGCUGGUUCCAGUCAGGAAAUGCAGAUUUGGAACACAGUAUUGCAUCUGCUUAAAUAGAAGCUGAGCAUACACAGCACAUAUAAAUAAUUCUAGUGCUAGGAUUUCGGGAAAGGAUUUGCGAUGACGUUUGAAGAAAGGCACCAAAGUCUAUAAAUGCUGCAUUCAAACAUAUAAUUUUCACAGCUUUAUAAUUUCCUUGAAGUAUUUUUUUCCUAAACAUUUUGUUACAUACCAUGUGGAAGAUGGUGAUCAUUAAACUGUGUGUUAAGGAAACUCACACAGCUUGUAAAGCCCAUUGAUACACAUCUCUGAAAGAGUUAGGAGCCCCAGAUCUCACAUCAAAAGUUUCACUGGACUUGAAUAACAAGAGCAUGUUUCACAGUACAUUAGCAUAACACUGAUUUAGGAGGGACAAUCACACCACUUAGACUGACAUUUUGUAAAACAAACAACACUGGAUUCCACCCAGAGAAGCCACUGUUAACCCCCCUGAUCCAUGUUUACUUUCUAGGAGGAUUCCCACCACCUUCUACAGCAGCCUGCUCUAAUGGUUAAUCACUUUGGCUGUUAAAUAAAAUGUGCAUCUUGUUUGUAAUAAAUCUGGACUUAACAUCAGUUCAAAGAAAGGGAAACGGGAGACAGUGCCAACAUACUUGUGAGGAAAGCAAACAAGCAAGAGGCAAUCUGGCUGCCUUGGCAGAAUCUGUUUCUUUUAUUAAAAACAGAGAAUUAGAGGUAAUUCAGCUGCAGCAUUAUCCAAUUGCAACGACAAGUUGAGGACGGGUUACUAACAUCCAUUGUAUCAGAUCUAAGUGGUCAUACUGUUCGAAGAGAAAUUAAAAUGUGAAUUGAGUAGGGUCUAGGAAGUCAAGUGCAGGAAUAAGUAGAACUGAUAGUUAAUUUAAUGCAAGCUCCAACCUAAUGAAAAGACAGAUAAUUGGAGGUAAUGAAGAGCCUACCAGUGGUAAGAACAGAA